rnacentral:rRNA from 1 species
UAAAACUCUGCCAACUAGCGAUCCGUCGAUAGUAAUUUUGCUUUGAUGGGGAGCUAAUCGGAAACGAAAGUCUUCCGGUUCCGGGGGAAGUAUGGUUGCAAAGCUGAAACUUAAAGAAAUUGACGGAAGGGCACCACCAGGAGUGGAGCCUGCGGCUUAAUUUGACUCAACACGGGAAAACUCACCCGGCCCGGACACUGUAAGGAUUGACAGAUUGAAAGCUCUUUCUUGAUUCGGUGGAUGGUGGUGCAUGGCCGUUCUUAGU